rnacentral:rRNA from 1 species
GGCGUGCCUAAGAAUGCAAGUCGAGCGAGGUCUAGAAGCUUGCUUCGAAAACCUAGCGGCGAACGGUCGCGUAACACGUAAGCAACCUGCCCUAAAGUUUGGGAUAGCCCACCGAAAGGUGGAUUAAUACCGGAUGUGGAUACGGAGUUUCAUGAUUUCGUAUUUAAAGCAGCAAUGCGCUUUAGGAUGGGCUUGCGGCCUAUCAGCUAGUUGGUGUGGGUAACGGCCCACCAAGGCGACGACGGGUAGCUGGUCUGAGAGGAUGGUCAGCCGGACUGAGACUGAGAUACGGCCCAGACUCCUACGGGGGGCAGCAAUUAGGAAUCUUGCGCAAUGGGCGAAAGCCUGACGCAGCGACGCCGCGUGACUGAUGAAGUCUUUCGGGAUGUAAAAGUCUUUUCUGAGGGAAGAAGGACGUGACGGUACCUCAGGAAUAAGCCCCGGCUAACUACGUGCCAGCAGCCGCGGUAAUACGUAGGGGGCGAGCGUUGUCCGAAUUUACUGGGCGUAAAGCGCGCGUAGGCGGGUUUUUAAGUUGGUGGUGAAAUCCCGAGGCUCAACCUCGGAACUGCCUCCAAAACUGGGAGCCUUGAGGUUUGGAGAGGGAAGUGGAAUUCCUGGUGUAGCGGUGAAAUGCGUAGAUAUCAGGAGGAACACCCGUGGCGAAGGCGGCUUCCUGGCCUUAUCCUGACGCUGAGGUGCGAAAGCUAGGGGAGCGAACGGGAUUAGAUACCCCGGUAGUCCUAGCCGUAAACGAUGGAUACUAGGUGUUAGUGGUAUCGACCCCACUAGUGCCGAAGCUAACGCAUUAAGUAUCCCGCCUGGGGAGUCACGUCGCCAGAUGAC